GUGAUUAACGAUUAAUUGUGUGCCGCUUAAUAGAACAGUAUUCAUUUAGAUAGCGAUUGAAUAACACAAGUAAAUCCAACGAAAUGGCUUGCAACAAAGAAGAUUGGGCUGAAAAUGAUGAAAUCAAAAUUUUUCGAGAAUACUUACGAAUUCCAAGCGUGCAUCCAAACGUUAACUAUGAACCAUGUGUUGGAUUCUUGAAACGACAAGCGGCCAAUUUAAAUCUUCCGAUCGCCAUUUAUUAUCCGGUUGAUGACCAAAAUCCAGUAGUUGUGAUCACAUGGAAAGGCUCACAGCCAGAAUUGCCAGCAAUCAUGUUGAAUUCACACAUGGAUGUUGUUGCUGUCACCGAAAAAUACUGGACUCAUCCACCGUUUGGUGCUGAUAUUGAUGAUGAAGGUCGCAUUUUUGCGCGUGGCACUCAAGACAUGAAAUCCGUUGGAAUGCAAUACUUGGCCGCCAUUCGAGUCUUAAAACAAAACGGCAUUCACUUGAAAAGAACAAUUCAUGUCAUCUAUACUCCUGAUGAAGAGACCGGAGGUUAUCGUGGAAUGGCGAAAUUUGUUAAAACGCAUGAUUUUGCUGCAUUGAAUGUUGGAUUCUCAUUGGAUGAAGGGAUCGCAUCAUCAGAUGAAGUGUUUCCAAUAUUCUAUGGUGAACGUUAUGUUUGGGCAAUACUUAUCAAGUGCCCUGGAACAUCUGGACAUGCAUCUUUGUUCCAUAAAAAUACGGCAAUGGAAAAAAUCCAAUUUUUAAUGGAGAAAUUUUUGAAUUUCCGAAAAACUGAAGAGCAACGUCUAAAGAACAAUCCCACAUUUACAGCUGGGGAUGUAACCACCGUUAAUAUAACAACUAUUAACGGUGGAAUUCAGCAAAAUGUUGUGCCGCCUGAAGUAAAAAUGUCGGUCGAUAUUAGAAUGGCCGUCGAUAUCGAUUGGAAACAAUUCGAACAAAACAUUUUUGAAUGGUGCAAACAGGCUGGUGAAGGCGUUGAAGUUGAAUUUAUUCAAAAAUUACAACGCAUCGAACCGACCAAACUGGAUGCAAACAAUAUGUAUUGGAUGACUUUUAAGAAGGUCCUCGUGGAUGAUCUAAAGUUCAAAAUUAAACCACAAAUUUUCCCGGGCGCAACGGACAGCCGACAUUUACGCGAGGUUGAUAUACCAGUAAUUGGAUUUUCUCCGAUGAAUCACACACCAGUAUUACUGCAUGAACAUGAUGAAUUCAUCAAAGCAAGCACCUAUCUCGAUGGAAUUGAAAUUUAUAAGAAACUAUUGAUCGAAAUCGCCAAUCUUUAAUGGAAAAUUAAUUAACUAUUAUUCGAAAAUGGUACUUGUCUCGAGGUAACUCUAAACUCUAGUUUUUAUUUACGUCCCAUUUACAAAUUUAAUUACAGAGAUUUUGUUUUGGAUUUGUCAAUCACUUCUCAAAACAUUCUAACAUUUCAAGCAAAAAUAUUCUCGACUUCCCAGAUACUCAAAUAUGUUCUCCCUGAUUGUUCGAGAUGAAAAUAAUAAUUAUUUUGAAAUACAUAGGGCAAGUGGAAUUUUGUCUUUUUAGUCUUUUUUAUUUUCCUUCUUUAAAACUUUCUUCUUAUACCUGCAUUCCGAAAACUGCUUCAGUGUAUCAUUUCAAACCGAAUAUUUCGAAAAAUUAUUGUAGUCAGAAGGGGGAUGAAGAGAGAUUAAAAAAUGAUGAUGAUAAUGAGAAGCCGAAAAAACACAAUGCAUUUUCAAUAACACUUAAGAUUUUUUUUUCUUCGAAUAUUUGUAUUCGUUUGUUCUUAUAUCAACUCCAAAAAAAUUAAUAAAAAAAAGUUUUGUUCAA